rnacentral:lncRNA from 1 species
UUAGAAAUAGCCCAAUCUUCAAGAGAGUGUUUAGGAGUGUUUGAUCUUUCAAAAGUGUGUUAUAUGAGGCCAAUCUUCAAGAGAGUGUUUAGAAGUGUUUGAUUUUUCAAAAGUGUGUUAUACGAGGACAUAAUAUGUUGUAAGACAUGGGGACUUAUGGGUUUUAGGGUGAGAAAUGUAGAAUAUGUCCUCAGCUUAAAAGAUGAAAAAGGUGCG